rnacentral:tRNA from 1 species
CUCCUCCUAGCUCAGUUGGUUAGAGCAUCUGACUGUUAAUCAGAGGGUCGCUGGUUCAAGUCCAGCGGGGGAGC